rnacentral:rRNA from 1 species
GAUGAACGCUGGCGGCGUGCCUAAUACAUGCAAGUCGAGCGAACAGACGAGGAGCUUGCUCCUCUGACGUUAGCGGCGGACGGGUGAGUAACACGUGGAUAACCUACCUAUAAGACUGGGAUAACUUCGGGAAACCGGAGCUAAUACCGGAUAAUAUAUUGAACCGCAUGGUUCAAUAGUGAAAGACGGUUUUGCUGUCACUUAUAGAUGGAUCCGCGCCGCAUUAGCUGGUUGGUAGGGUAACGCCUUACCAAGGGAACGUAGCGUAGCCGACCGGAGAGGGGGAUCGCCCACACGGGAACGGGAACCCGGCCCAGACUCCUACGGGAGGCAGCAGUAGGGAAUCUUCCGAAAUGGGCGAAAGCUUGACGGAGCAACGCCGCGUGGGUGAUGAAGGUCUUCGGAUCGUAAAACUCUGUUAUUGGGGAGGAACAAAUGUGUAAGUAACUAUGCACGUCUUGACGGUACCUAAUCAGAAAGCCACGGCUAACUACGUG